ACCAUUUGCUUUCUUAUCAGGUGCGUGCAACAAAGGAACUACACUCUCAUGUUUUUCUAACGUUGAAAACUGAUGUGCAUAUUCAAGUUGUGCAGAUAAACGAAUAGAUGGGAGCUCUUUCUUCAACAAGCUAAGAAGAGGCCUAACUUGCUCUUGCUGGGUUACUCCUGUUCAAGUGUUGCAAAGUUCUGCAGUAUUCCAUGACAGGAUGAAAGCGGCUCUGCAGGUGAGAUUGGUUGCAAAUGAUCAAAUGCAGGUUGAAUUUACUGGUUACGGUCGCAGCAUGCCGAUGGCUUUACAUUGAUGCAGCACACUUUUUGCAUUAGUUUCUGGUUAUUCCGCUGAUGUUUCCCAUGCCACUCACUUUGGGAAGUUUUGUUGUACUGUAAGUGACUUAAAACCAAUUCAGCUGCUUUAGAAAGCCUCUCUUUAGCAUCAACAGAAUCCAACAUUGAUAAUUGUUUUUCAAGACUUAUCUCAAAGCUAGCAACAAAUAUAUCAGCCCACUUAUGAACAGGAACAGUCUCCAAAAGAACUUCUGUCCUUCCACCAAUACUUUGUUUCUGCUCCAGAACAGAUAUAAGUUCCACGGCAUUUGCUUUAAAUUGGCGUGAUAACAUUAUGAAAUCCGGGUCAUGCUCCACCUGUUCCAUCGCUGUCCUAGUCAUCUAAAGGGAAAAGAUUUUUGCAGUAUGGCUAAUACCGGUCACGGCGCAGACUCCUUCACGGCCUGAUGGGUUAGAAUGAAUUGCAGCAAAGUGUUGCAAUAUAUGACAAAUUGGAUGUGAUUCUGCAGGUGAGAUUCCAACUGCUUGAUGAUUUUGGGUGUCAAGCCCUAUGUGAAGCUGCUGAAUGGCUCUUGCCUCCUUUGUAAGCCAUGAAUGCAAAUGGUGUAUGCGAUUGUUCCCAGCAUGCCACCAAAUGACCAAAUCUUAAUUUGAAGCACAUGCACACAUGGGAAGCUCAAGGACCAUGAAGGAAAAAUCAACCUGAGAAUUAGACAUAGGAUAGGGAUUCCGGGAUGAGAAGGGUUUGAGUUGACUUUGGUCAAAGUUGACCAAAAAGUCAACUGUUGACCAAAGUCAACAAUUGGUCAACACAUCUUUCUUUGUAUUUUUCCUGUAAUGAUCAUGUAAUGAACGAAAUUUCUUCACUUGAAUGAACUUGGAUUUGUAUUUGGCCUGAAUGGCUUUUGAAAUGAAUUUGAAAUUAUCUUACAUGAAUGAAUGGAUUUUGAAUA